rnacentral:rRNA from 1 species
UGAUAGAAAUUUAAACACUUUUUAAAGUAUCAAUUGGAGGGCAAGUCUGGUGCCAGCAGCCGCGGUAAUUCCAGCUCCAAUAGCGUAUAUUAAAAUUGUUGCAGUUAAAAAGCUCGUAGCUGAAUUUCUGUUAAAAAUAACCGGUCUGCUUUUUUUAUUAAAAGUUGUAUCACUUUGGUGUGUUUUUAACAAUAAUAAUGUCCUUUGAAAAUGUUUUUUACUUUAUUGUAAUAAGUCAUUGUUUUGAGGAUUUUUACUUUGAGAAAAUUAGAGUGUUUUUAGCAGGCUUUUACGCUUUUGAAUACUGCAGCAUGGAAUAAUAAGAUAGGAUUUUAGUUCUACAUUAUUGGUUUUAAGAACUAAAUUAAUGAUUGAUAGGGAUAGUUGGGGGCAUUUGUAUUUAACUGUCAGAGGUGAAAUUCUUAGAUUUGUUAAAGACAAACUAUUGCGAAAGCAUUUGCCAAAGAUGUUUUCAUUAAUCAAGAACGAAAGUUAGGGGAUCGAAG